AUUGAACGCUGGCGGCAUGCCUUACACAUGCAAGUCGAACGGUAACAGGUUAAGCUGACGAGUGGCGAACGGGUGAGUAAUGUAUCGGAACGUGCCCAGUCGUGGGGGAUAACUGCUCGAAAGAGCAGCUAAUACCGCAUACGACCUGAGGGUGAAAGCGGGGGAGUCGCAAGACCUCGCGCGAUCGGAGCGGCCGAUAUCAGAUUAGGUAGUUGGUGGGGUAAAGGCCUACCAAGCCUACGAUCUGUAGCUGGUCUGAGAGGACGACCAGCCACACUGGGACUGAGACACGGCCCAGACUCCUACGGGAGGCAGCAGUGGGGGAAUAUUGCGCAAUGGGCGAAAGCCUGACGCAGCGACGCCGCGUGGGUGAUGAAGGGCCCUUC
rnacentral:rRNA from 1 species